rnacentral:rRNA from 1 species
UACAGAGGUCUCAAGCGUUGUUCGGAUUCAUUGGGCGUAAAGGGUGCGUAGGCGGCGCGGUAAGUCGGGUGUGAAAUCUCGGAGCUUAACUCCGAAACUGCAUUCGAUACUGCCGUGCUUGAGGACUGGAGAGGAGACUGGAAUUUACAGUGUAGCGGUGAAAUGCGUAGAUAUCGUAAGGAAGACCAGUGGCGAAGGCGGGUCUCUGGACAGUUCCUGACGCUGAGGCACGAAGGUCAGGGGAGCAAACGGG